UACAGAGGUCCCAAGCGUUGUUCGGAUUCAUUGGGCGUAAAGGGUGCGUAGGCGGCGCGGUAAGUCGGGUGUGAAAUCUCGGAGCUUAACUCCGAAACUGCAUUCGAUACUGCCGUGCUUGAGGACUGGAGAGGAGACUGGAAUUUACGGUGUAGCGGUGAAAUGCGUAGAUAUCGUAAGGAAGACCAGUGGCGAAGGCGGGUCUCUGGACAGUUCCUGACGCUAAGGCACGAAGGCCAGGGGAGCAAACGGG
rnacentral:rRNA from 1 species